rnacentral:rRNA from 1 species
GUGAGGAAUAUUGGUCAAUGGUCGGAAGACUGAACCAGCCAUGCCGCGUGCAGGAAGACGGUCCUAUGGAUUGUAAACUGCUUUUAUUCGGGGAUAAACCUCCUUACGUGUAGGGAGCUGAAGGUACCGAAAGAAUAAGCACCGGCUAACUCCGUGCCAGCAGCCGCGGUAAUACGGAGGGUGCAAGCGUUAUCCGGAAUCAUUGGGUUUAAAGGGUCCGCAGGCGGGAUUGUAAGUCAGUGGUGAAAUCCGGCAGCUCAACUGUCGCACUGCCAUUGAUACUGCAGUCCUUGAAUUCGAUUGGAGUGGGCGAAAUAUGUCAUGUAGCGGUGAAAUGCUUAGAUAUGACAUAGAACACCGAUAGCGAAGGCAGCUCACUAAGUCUGAAUUGACGCUCAUGGACGAAAGCGCGGGUAGCAAACAGGAUUAGAAACCCGAGUAGUCC